UUAAGAAAAAUAAUUCAUUUAAAUAACUAUUUAUUAUAUAUAGAGAGAAAAUGGUAUAAGAAUCUUUUGUCUUUUAAUGAAUAAGAUAUUUUGAAAAUAUCUUUUUAUUAGUGGUAAACAUAGAUAAUAGUACCAACAAAGUGGUAAACAUGAAAAUUUCCCAAAAAAAAUUUGCACAAAAUUAUAUAUUUUUUAAACCCGGUCUAUCAAAUCCCGCGCGUAGCGCGGAUCGACCCUAGUGAUUAAUGAACUAAAAGGGUAAAUACAACCAAAACGAUAGUAAGCCAACAAAAAAAAACUAAAAAGAGAGUGGUUGUUUGUGAUUGGUGCAAUUGGUGUGGCAAGGAUCACUCGUCGUGAAAAUCUCACCGUUCAUCACUUAAUACAAUAAUAAGAAAAAGAGAAAUGUUGUGAUUGGCUAGUCCUUGGUGACAAGGAUAGCUAUUUCUCGCCAUUGAUAAUUUUGAUCGAAGGGCUCAAAUCUCAAGCUCUCACGUUUCUUUCUCCUAACUUUUUCUCAUUAGUAAACUUCUCCUCUGUUACAAAAAAAAAAAAAAACUUCUCCUCAGUGACAAAAAAAAGUAAACUUAUCCUUUAUCCAUCUUAUCAAUCCUCCUUCUACAAACACACACCACCAUUACCAUCACCUCCUCCGCCAUUAUUAUGCCUCAACCACCGUAUUGUUAAUCUGUCUCAUCCACCAUCACAUCACCUCAUCCGCCGCCAAUAUCACCAUAACCUCCGCUUCCUCCUCCUUGAUCUGGAAUAAUGACAAAAGGGUAGCGAGUAAGAGGUGAAGGAUGACACAUCGGAGACACGCCUGUGGUAGUGACGAACCAGACACGAAGACGUAGCAAAUGCGGUGAUGCUUGAGGAAGGCAGCGGCUGAGAAUGCUUGGAAUGCGACGAAGAGGCACACGGAGCUUGAGAAAGGUGGCGCUUAGGUUUAGGUUUUGGUUAAUUAGGUUUUUGGUUUAAUGUUAGUUUUCGGUUUAAUGUGUUCUGGUUUACUUAAUUUUUUCAAUUUUGGUUUAGUCUUGUAAAAUUGAUAUUAUUUGUAAAUUGGUUUUAAUUAAUAAAUUAAAUUUCAAUUUUAA